rnacentral:misc_RNA from 1 species
AAGGAGACCAGCAGAACCAGAAUGCAUCUCCUGAUAACAAGGAUGCUACAAAUGUGCAUGCAUUAGUAUAAUGCCCCAAUGAUGAUUCCAGACGACGGCACACUUGACAAGUGCUUGGAUAUCAGUCCCGCCCCUCUCCCGCACGAACAUCAUGUUGCAAAUUUAUUCGGUUGCUGCUGCUGCUGCUGAUGCUGCUUCUUCCCUGCUAAAGACGCUCGCGGCUGAGCUGGGUUCUGAAUACCAUUCAUUCUCUUUACGGCUGAGGAAAGACGCUUCUGAUAUAAAGACCUCCUUGUAGUCUUCAUCAUCAUAGACGAACUGCGGCGGGUCGGG